GUCCCUGUGGCGUAACCGGGCAGCACGUUCGGCUGUUAACCGAGAGGAUGGUGGUUCGAGCCCACCCAGGGACC
rnacentral:tRNA from 1 species